rnacentral:rRNA from 1 species
UACGUAGGGUGCAAGCGUUGUCCGGAAUUAUUGGGCGUAAAGAGCUCGUAGGCGGUUUGUCGCGUCUGCUGUGAAAGCCCGGAGCUCAACUCCGGGUCUGCAGUCGAUACGGGCAGACUUGAGUGUUGCAGGGGAGACUGGAAUUCCUGGUGUAGCGGUGAAAUGCGCAGAUAUCAGGAGGAACACCGGUGGCGAAGGCGGGUCUCUGGGCAACAACUGACGCUGGAGGAGCGAAAGCGUGGGGAGCGAACAGG